rnacentral:tRNA from 1 species
GGGGGUGUAACUCAGUGGUAGAGUCUGUGCUUGGCAUGCACGAGGUCCUGGGUUCCAUCCCCAGUGCCUCCA